AUUGAACGCUGGCGGCAUGCCUUACACAUGCAAGUCGAACGGCAGCACGGGAGCAAUCCUGGUGGCGAGUGGCGAACGGGUGAGUAAAGUAUCGGAACGUGCCCAGUCGUGGGGGAUAACGUAGCGAAAGUUACGCUAAUACCGCAUACGAUCUAUGGAUGAAAGCGGGGGAUCGCAAGACCUCGCGCGAUUGGAGCGGCCGAUAUCAGAUUAGGUAGUUGGUGGGGUAAAGGCGCACCAAGCCGACGAUCUGUAGCUGGUCUGAGAGGACGACCAGCCACACUGGGACUGAGACACGGCCCUGACGCCUACGGGAGGCAGCAGUGAGGAAUUUUGGACAAUGGGCGAAAGCCUGAUCCAGCCAUGCCGCGUGCAGGAUGAAGGCCUUCGGGUUGUAAACUGCUUUUGUACGGAACGAAAAGGUUUGGCCUAAUAAGCUGAGCUCAUGACGGUACCGUAAGAAUAAGCACCGGCUAACUACGUGCCAGCCGCCGCGGUAA
rnacentral:rRNA from 1 species